CGCCGCGUGGGGGAUAAGGCUUCGGAUUGUAACCCCUUUCGGGAGGGAAGAUGGAGUGGGUACCACUUGGACGGUACCUCCAGAAGCAGCCACGGCUAACUUCGUGCCAGCAGCCGCGGUAAUACGAAGGUGGCGCGCGGUUCUUCAUAUACGCGUGCGGUACUAGGAGGCAUCGUAGGCGAGGUAAGUCCGCCCUCCGUGAAAUCUCCGGGGCUAAACCGGAAAGUGCACAGGGGACUGCUUGUGGGUAGAGGAUGGGACAGGAGCGCGGAAUUCCGGUGUAGCGGUGAAAUGCGUAGAGAUCGGGAGGAAGGCCGGUGGCGAAUGCGGCGCUCUGGAACAUUACUGACGCUGAGGCUCGAAAGCGUGGGGAGCAAACAGGAUUAGAUACCCUGGUAGUCCACGCCUUUAAACUAUGGAUACUAAGUGUCGGCGGUUUAACGCCGGGUGCCGCAGCUAACGCAAUAAGUAUCCCGG
rnacentral:rRNA from 1 species